CUUGGACUUACACCAGUGGUUUGCCAGGGGCUCUUGAGCCUUUGGCCACAGACGGAAGACCACACAGUUGGCUUCCCUAAUUUUGAGGCUGUGGGACUCAGACUGAGCCACUACUGGCUUCCUUGCUCCUCAGCCUGCAAAUGACCUAUUGUGGGAUUUCUUUACCUUGUGAUCCUAGUCUCUCUCUAUCUGCUGAGCUGCCUGAAGCUAGACAUAAACACCUCUGUGGCCACUACCACUGAGACUGCACUGGGUCAGAACUGAAGCCAACACAGCACUUGGUCUCACCCAAAGCCCAGUGUAACCACUACCUGGCUACUGCUUCUGUUUGCUCAAGGCCCUAGGACUCUAUAAUCAGCAGGCAGAGGAGCCUUUCCUCGUGGCCACCACCACCAGAGACUCAAGAGAGGUACUACCAGGCUAUCACAGAUAUUCACUUAAAGACCACAAGGGCUCUUCAGUCAGCCUGUGGUGAAGCCAUCAGGCCUGCGACUCACCCUUCAGGGCAAUGGGUUCCCCUUUGGCCCAGAACAUGUUGAGAAAUGCCACCCAAGAGCCAAGGCCUAGAAUCAGGGAAGUCAAUAGCCCUCUUUGUGCUCUACCCAAUGUGGCCAAGCUGGUGCCUGAAGCCAGCAUAUCUCAGAGACUCACCCAAGGCCCAUGACUAACUAUGUAGGUAUUGCUGCUGGUUCUUCAAGGCCCAAGGGCAUUUUUGUCAGCAGGUGAUUAAUCCUGCCAGACUGGCUUCUUUCCUUAAGGUAGCAAGUUCUCAUCUGGUCUAGGGUAUGUCUAGAUAUGUUGUUCAGGAGCUA
rnacentral:lncRNA from 1 species